rnacentral:rRNA from 1 species
CCUACGUGCGGCAGCAGUGGGGAAUAUUGGGCAAUGGGCGCAAGCCUGACCCAGCAACGCCGCGUGAAGGCAGAAGGCUUUCGGGUUGUAAACUUCUUUUCUGGGGGACGAACAAAUGACGGUACCCCAGGAAUAAGCCACGGCUAACUACGUGCCAGCAGCCGCGGUAAUACGUAGGUGGCAAGCGUUAUACGGAUUUAUUGGGUGUAAAGGGCGUGUAGGCGGGAAUGCAAGUCAGAUGUGAAAACUCAGGGCUCAACCCUGGGCCUGAAUUUGAAACUGUGUUUCUUGAGUGCUGGAGAGGCAAUCGGAAUUCCGUGUGUAGCGGUGAAAUGCGUAGAUAUACGGAGGAACACCAGUGGCGAAGGCGGAUUGCUGGACAGUAACUGACGCUGAGGCGCGAAAGCGGGGGGAGCAAACAGGAUUAGAUACCCCUGUAGUC